rnacentral:rRNA from 1 species
UAGAGUUUGAUCAGGCUCAGAAUGAACGCUGGCGGCAUGCCUAACACAUGCAAGUCGAACGAAGGCUUCGGCCUUAGUGGCGCACGGGUGCGUAACGCGUGGGAAUCUGCCCCUUGGUUCGGAAUAACAGUUGGAAACGACUGCUAAUACCGGAUGAUGACGUAAGUCCAAAGAUUUAUCGCCGAGGGAUGAGCCCGCGUAGGAUUAGGUAGUUGGUGUGGUAAAGGCGCACCAAGCCGACGAUCCUUAGCUGGUCUGAGAGGAUGAUCAGCCACACUGGGACUGAGACACGGCCCAGACUCCUACGGGAGGCAGCAGUGGGGAAUAUUGGACAAUGGGCGAAAGCCUGAUCCAGCAAUGCCGCGUGAGUGAUGAAGGCCUUAGGGUUGUAAAGCUCUUUUACCCGGGAUGAUAAUGACAGUACCGGGAGAAUAAGCUCCGGCUAACUCCGUGCCAGCAGCCGCGGUAAUACGGAGGGAGCUAGCGUUAUUCGGAAUUACUGGGCGUAAAGCGCACGUAGGCGGCUUUGUAAGUAAGAGGUGAAAGCCCAGAGCUCAACUCUGGAAUUGCCUUUUAGACUGCAUCGCUUGAAUCAUGGAGAGGUCAGUGGAAUUCCGAGUGUAGAGGUGAAAUUCGUAGAUAUUCGGAAGAACACCAGUGGCGAAGGCGGCUGACUGGACAUGUAUUGACGCUGAGGUGCGAAAGCGUGGGGAGCAAAC